rnacentral:rRNA from 1 species
UACGUAGGGUGCGAGCGUUGUCCGGAAUUAUUGGGCGUAAAGAGCUUGUAGGCGGUUUGUCGCGUCUGCUGUGAAAAUCCGGGGCUCAACCCCGGACUUGCAGUGGGUACGGGCAGACUAGAGUGUGGUAGGGGAGACUGGAAUUCCUGGUGUAGCGGUGAAAUGCGCAGAUAUCAGGAGGAACACCGGUGGCGAAGGCGGGUCUCUGGGCCGAUA